UAGGAAGUUGGACUUGUUACUUUUUGGACCAAGGGCAGGGGGCUUCUCCAGCAACCUGGCCCUUUCCUUGCCACAAGCAGACACAAUGUGUCGAGCUCUAAACCUGAACUGGUUUCUUUGUGGAGUACAAGACAUUGUGAUUCCUAAACAGAGUAUGAAAGCUGUUUCCUAUGCCUCAGAAACAGGCCAUUGUAAUGGGGUUUUGAUACUGAUGGUGUCAGUUAAUGUUUUAAAGCUAUUGCAGAUGCUCCCAUGGCUUAAGGACACUUACUCUUGGCUCUCAGCUCAUUUUCUUCAGGUGUCUGAUAGCAGGUUCCUGGCUGAGCUGUGAUGUGACUUCUGGCAGUUGACCUGACAACCUUGGAGCAGUUAAAGACCAACUGCGAGGUGCUCUAAGGGGUCAUGACUCAAAGGCCAGGCGACCUGCAAGCUGGGAAAGCUGGCUUCUCCCAUCUGUCCUUCAACUACCAUGUGCCAGUGACUUUACACCAUGCUGCAGUUCUGAAGCUUUCUGAAUAUCAACUAUACUUCCUCAUCCUUCCCCCCUGCACCAAGAAAUCACAAACGUCCCCACCUUAGAGUUACUUUGUGACUGAUAAUUUCUCAUUUCUAUAUAGGGAAAGCCAAAGUAAGCAGCAGAGCUCAAGAAAGAGCUGAUGGCUCCUAGCGCCAGUGGCUCAGUCUCUCGUACCUCCAGGGACCAUCAUGCCUUGUUAGGAAAAAAGAAAAGGAAAAAAGGACUAUUGUGUGCAGGGAGACUGUCCUGGCUUAGUAGAGAAGAGAGGAGGGGGUCUGGUGCUCACAGGGUGUCAGAAUUGGAACGGGACACUUGUUGGUGUUAAAGAAUGAUUGCAUUUUGGAGAGGAGACCCUUGUCUGAAAAACUUGUGUUUCAACUGUCCAAAGAUUUUGCACAGAUUUUACAAGCUCAGAUACGCUAACAUAGAUAUUCCCGGUAAGAAGCCGGAUUGAACCUUUUGCUUUCCUUUGCAACAUGUUUGGGGGUACAUGCUAACUGCUACUACUGAUUGGCAGAAGCUUACAAUUCCUUCACAUCAUCCUGAAACCAAAUUCAGCCUGUUAAAGACAAACAACCCACCAAGCAGCAUUUUUCUAAAAAAGGACACUUUAGGUAUUAUUAUUUUUAAUAAAGCUGCAUAAAGUUAGAUAGGAAAAAGAAAAAAUCCCUCUUUGGGCUGCUUUGACAACCGCUACCUACUGUCUUUAUUCACUGUGUGUUACAAUGACUGCUAGCUGAUGGGAUUUGAGAGGUUUAAUCAAAUUUAAUUAAAACUGGUGCUCCAUA